AUGCUCAGCGCGCCCGAUGACGCAGGCCGCCCGCUCUUCGCCGCCAAGGACAUCAACAAGUUCUACCUCGACCACUGUCCAAGUAUCUUCCCUCAAGCCAGCAAAGGGCCCCUCGGCUUGAUGAGGAGCAUGAUGGGACCCAAGUACAACGGCGAGUACCUCCACACGGUCGUCAAGAAGCUCCUUGGUGACACGCGGGUCGGCGAUACGCUGAAUAACGUCGUCAUUCCAACCUUCGACAUCAAACUACUGCAGCCCACAAUCUUCUCGACUUACAACCUAUGUGAUGCCAUGAAGGAUAAAUCGAAGAACGCUCUUCUAUCCGACGUCUGCAUCAGCACGUCCGCUGCGCCGACCUACCUCCCCGGCCACCACUUUCAGACAGAGGGCGAGGACGGCACGCCCCGGCAGUUCAACCUCAUCGACGGUGGCGUCGCUGCAAACAAUCCGCUCUACAACAGGGGCGCGGCGCCCAUCAUCGACAGCUUCAGCCAGGCAAGUGCCGACCUUGUCGACAUCCACGCCUCUGUGCUAUUUCAGGCGCUUCACUGCAAGAAACGCUACCUCCGGAUCCAGGAUGACGAGCUCAAGGGCGAGACGGCCUCCGUCGACGUGUCCACGCCAGAGAACCUCAACCGGCUUGUCGAUGUUGGCAAGGCCCUGCUCAAGAGGCAGGUGUGCAAGGUGAAUGCUGAGACGGGCAAGAACGAGCCCGACCAAAAUAGGGGCACGAACGAGGAGGAGCUGGUCAUAUUUGCACGCAUGUUGUCGAAAGAGCGCAAAGCCAGGCUUCAGAAGGAGGGCGAUGUUGAAUUCUAG
rnacentral:rRNA from 1 species